rnacentral:rRNA from 1 species
GAUGAACGCUAGCGACAGGCCUAACACAUGCAAGUCGUACGAGAAAGUCGGCUUCGGCCGAUGAGUACAGUGGCGCACGGGUGAGUAGCGCGUGGGUAAUCUGCCCCCCGGUCAGGAAUAACCCGCCGAAAGGCGGGCUAAUACCCGAUAACACUGACGCUCCGCGGAGCGUCUUUCAAAGAAGGCCUCUGUUUACAAGCUUUCGCCGGAGGAUGAGCCCGCGUACCAUUAGCUAGUUGGCAGGGUAAUGGCCUACCAAGGCUACGAUGGUUAGCUGGUCUGAGAGGAUGGCCAGCCACACUGGAACUGAGACACGGUCCAGACUCCUACGGGAGGCAGCAGUGAGGAAUCUUGCGCAAUGGGGGAAACCCUGACGCAGCAACGCCGCGUGAGUGAGGAAGGCCUUCGGGUCGUAAAGCUCUGUCAGAUGGGAAGAAAGUAGGAUGGGGCGUAAUAUACGCCCAUCCCUUGACGGUACCAUCAGAGGAAGCACCGGCUAACCG